UAUAGUUGUGUAGAUGUAGAUCUUCACAUAUUGCCGUCAAGAAGCACCCCAGAAUACAAAAGAGAAAGGCGUCUGUUCAUGAUCUCCAUAAGAGUGCAGACUAGCAAACAGCAUAUAUACAAAGCACAAACGUCAUAAUCCGACUUCUAUCUCUCUCUCUCUCAAGUAAGUGUAACCAUGUAAAAAGGCUACAAUCCAGCUCAGAUAAUAGAGACAUCAAACAUGGCCAUUACAUU
rnacentral:lncRNA from 1 species